rnacentral:rRNA from 1 species
GAUGUGGUCCUCACGGACCAAAGCUGGCCUCUGCAUAUGCUGGCGCAUCGAGAGGGGUUCAUGUGCUAUUAGCUUGUUGGUGGGGUAACGGCUCACCAAGGCGAUGAUGGCUAGCCGGCCUGAGAGGGUGUCCGGCCACACUGGGACUGAGACACUGCCCAGACUCCUGCGGGAGGCUGCAGUCGAGAAUCUUCCACCAAUGCGCGAAAGCGUGAUGGAGCGACGCCGCGUGGGCGAUGAAGGCCUUCGGGUUGUAAAGCCCUGUUGGAUGGGCGUAAUCCCCUAGAGUUAAUACCUCUUAGGGUUGAACUCCCAUCGGAGGAAGCACCGGCUAAAUUCGUGCCAGCAGCCGCGGUAAUACGAAUGGUGCGAGCGUUGUUCGGAAUCACUGGGCAUAAAGAGCACGUAGGCGGUUCGGUAAGUCAUCUGUGAAAUCCCCCGGCUCAACCGGGGAACUGCAGCUGAUACUGCCGGACUAGAGUGCGCGAGGGGAGAGCGGAAUUCCUGGUGGAGCGGUGAUAUGCGUAGAUAUCAGGAGGAACGCCGGAGGCGAAAGCGGCUCUCUGGCGCGCAACUGACGCUGAGGUGCGAAAGCUAGGGGAGCGAACAGGAUUAGAUACCCUGGUAGUCCUAGCCGUAAACGAUGGGCACUAAGUGGAGGGGCUCCCAAGGCCUCUCUGCCGGAGCUAAUGUGUUAAGUGCCCCGCCUGGGGAGUAUGGUCGCAAGGCUGAAACUCAAAGGAAUUGACGGGGGCUCACACAAGCGGUGGAGCAUGUUGUUUAAUUCGAAGCAACGCGAA